ACGCUCGACACCUACGGGGGCAGCAGUGGGGAAUAUUGCACAAUGGGGGAAACCCUGAUGCAGCGACGCCGCGUGGAGGAAGAAGGUCUUCGGAUUGUAAACUCCUGUUGUUGGGGAAAAGGAGGAUGGUACCCAACAAGGAAGUGACGGCUAACUACGUGCCAGCAGCCGCGGUAAUCUGAGGCGGGCUGGCAAGGC
rnacentral:rRNA from 1 species